rnacentral:lncRNA from 7 species
GGCCAAUCAGAGCGCGGAAGAGCUCUGCACCAUUUCUCCCACUCGCCCAUAUAAUCGGAGGCGAGCGGUGAGGAAGGCCGAAUCUCAGUGGAACGAAUGGACAACUGACUUGACCAAUGGAAGCCUUUCCCCUCCCACUGCGUUGGGCGGAGGAAUGGGUGGAGUGAUUUUCCAGUUUGUGUUGAGGGAACACCACUCCAUUAUGAAGCCUUCCCAAAAAAUGAAUGUCUAAUCUUCUUAUGACUCUUCUAAGGAAAAAUAAUUUCAGCCUGAAGAACCUGUUAUUAACUCUAUGCAAGUCAGAGAUUUCCUACAGAAAACAAUGGCUGAAGAUUUCUUGUGCACACACUGGAGAAAUUGGUUAUCAUCUGGAGGAUGGAACGUGAGAUCCAUUGAUCUGUUUUUCAGCUCUUUGGGCUAUAAUUUCUUCUUACCAACAAACUGUAAUUCUCAAAUGGUUGAAGAAUAUAAAACAGUUAAGAGUCUGAUUCUGGAAAAUACUUGAGUACCUAUGGACCUCUCUUUGAAAACAACUGACUUCAAAGAAGUGCUGUUCCAAAUAGGGAUGGAUUUCUAUCUGUGCUUGGACACAUUUCUGAAUCAGGGCCUUGGGCUGAUUUACAUAGAACAUUCAACUUAAUUAAUCCAAAUUAACUUAAAGUAUGAACUGAAAAUGGAUUAAGCUUUAUACAAAGUGGAAUUAAGACUACUUUAAUUUAAAAAAGUCUUUACAGGGUUAAAUGCACUUUAACUAAUCUGCUUUAAAUUAAGUCUUUAGUUAAUUUGGAUUAAUUUUCCCAAGUGUCUUUGUGAAAACCAGCUCAGAGUUGGGAUCCAGCCUGGGCAGUAAUCACAGAAAUGCUUUGUAUUAGAGGAAUUAUUGCCAUGCCUAAAGUUAAGGAUGUGCAUAGUGUUUGGUAUGCAGUAAGGUCAAUGUGCUUCAGAGCCAUGCCCGUUUCUGCAGCAUGCAGUGACUUGAAACCAAUUUAAAUGUCUCAUUAUGAAUGAGUUUUCACCAUGAUUGAUCAGUUUAUGUAGUAUCAGCAAAGAAUGUGUAAUCAGACUGUGUUCUGUCUUUACUGUUUGAGUACAUGAACAAACACUUGGUGACACAGACUAUGGGUAUCAUCUCCAAGCUCAUUCAAACCAAGCCCGGCAGCUAUACUACAAUACUUGCAGCAUAUUAAUUUUGCAUUUCUUUUGAUGCUUGUGAUACUAUGAUGUGUUGUUUCCACGUUUACUAGUGAUGUGUUUAUUUAGAAAAUAAUCAUUAUAAUUUUGUACCCAUGCUCUUGGCACAAUUGAUACAUAUAUGAUAAUAUAUUGAUAUAUAUUAGUU